ACUGCACGGAGGGGGCCUGCGGGGGCUGCCGUGGAGAAGGGUUUCUGGUGAACAGCCGUUGUCCAAGAGUCAGUCGAUCCUAAGCCCGGGGAGAGAUCCUCGUACCACGGGCGAAGGCGUUUUCGAAUCGCCCAUGGGGCGAGAGGGAAUCCGGUCCGUAUUCCGGAACCCGACGCGGAACCGCUCCCUAGUGUUCGGGGCUCUUUUGUCUCGUCCGGGCGACCGGAAUGAACUCGAAGAAGCCGCCGGGGGGUCCGGGAAGAGUUCUCUUUUCUCUGUGAGCGUUGUACGUCCCUGGAAUCCUCUAGCCGGGCGAUAGGGACGCGAGCGCGAAGAGCACCGCUCGUUGCGGCGGUGUCCGUGACCCCCACGCGGACCUUGAAAAUUCGAGAGAGGGCCACGCGGAGUCUUCGCGUCGGUUCGUACCGAUAUCCGCAGCAGGUCUCCGAGGUGAGCAGCCUCUAGCCGCAUAGAAUAAUGUAGGUAAGGGAAGUCGGCAAAACCGAUCCGUAACUUCGGGAUAAGGAUUGGCUCUGAGGAGCGUGGCGGAUCGGGUUCGGGUCGUCGUAGAAGCGUAGGCGGUGCUGGCGACACCCCGGCCGUCGCCCGUGCGCCCGGUCUCCGGAC
rnacentral:ncRNA from 1 species